rnacentral:rRNA from 1 species
CAGCCGCCGCGGGAAUACGGAGGGUGCGAGCGUUAAUCGGAAUUACUGGGCGUAAAGCGUACGCAGGCGGUUUGUUAAGUCAGAUGUGAAAUCCCCGGGCUCAACCUGGGAACUGCAUUUGUGACUGGCAAGCUAGAGUGUGGCAGAGGGGGGUGGAAUUCCGCGUGUAGCAGUGAAAUGCGUAGAUACGCGGAGGAACACCGAUGGCGAAGGCAGCCCCCUGGGCCAACACUGACGCUCAUGCACGAAAGCGUGGGGAGCAAACAGGAUUAGAUACCCCCGUAGUCCCUGUCUCUUAUAC